UCGGGAAUCUUGCACAAUGGGCGAAAGCCUGAUGCAGCAACGCCGUGUGGGCGAGGAAGGUCUUCGGAUUGUAAAGCCCUGUUGUUGGGGACGAAGGGUGAAGGGUUAAUAGCCCCCAGCCUGACGGUACCCUUCGAGGAAGCCCCGGCUAACUACGUGCCAGCAGCCGCGGUAAUACGUAGGGGGCGAGCGUUGUCCGGAAUUAUUGGGCGUAAAGAGCGUGUAGGCGGCCCGGUAAGUCUGCCGUGAAAACCUGGGGCUCAACCCCGGGCGUCGGGUGGAUACUGCUGGGCUAGAGGAUGGUAGAGGCGAGUGGAAUUCCCGGUGUAGCGGUGAAAUGCGCAGAGAUCGGGAGGAACACCAGUAGCGAAGGCGGCUCGCUGGGCCAUUCCUGACGCUGAGACGCGAAAGCUAGGGGAGCGAACAGGAUUAGAUACCCGCGUAGUCC
rnacentral:rRNA from 1 species